CCUACGGGUGGCAGCAGUGAGGAAUAUUGGUCAAUGGGCGUAAGCCUGAACCAGCCAAGUCGCGUGAGGGAUGAAGGUUCUAUGGAUCGUAAACCUCUUUUAUCAGGGAAUAAAGUGUGGGACGUGUCCUCUUUUGUAUGUACCUUAUGAAUAAGGAUCGGCUAACUCCGUGCCAGCAGCCGCGGUAAUACGGAGGAUCCGAGCGUUAUCCGGAUUUAUUGGGUUUAAAGGGUGCGUAGGCGGCCUUUUAAGUCAGCGGUGAAAGUCUGUGGCUCAACCAUAGAAUUGUCGUUGAAACUGGGGGUCUUGAGUAUGUGAGAGGCAGGCGGAAUGCGUGGUGUAGCGGUGAAAUGCAUAGAUAUCACGCAGAACCCCGAUUGCGAAGGCAGCCUGCCAAGCCAUGACUGACGCUGAGGCACGAAAGCGUGGGGAUCGAACAGGAUUAGAUACCCCGGUAGUC
rnacentral:rRNA from 1 species